AUUAAGGUGACAGAGAAUGUGUUAGAUUUAAGCUCUAAUUAUAAAGGUGAAAGCCCUUUUCUUAAUA
rnacentral:tRNA from 1 species